rnacentral:rRNA from 1 species
GCCCAACUGCGCGCUAACCUAGAUCCCACAAAGGUGUUGGUCGAUUAAGACAGUAGGACUGUGGUCAUGGAAGUCAAAAUCCACUAAGGAAUGUGUAACAACUUGUUCAUGUGAUACCUCGCAAGCUUACG